GAGUAAUGGAGGCCCUACAGAGUCCUGCAGUCACUGUGGCCUGGCAUCCACUGUGCACCCCAUGCUGACGGAUGCUCAGGAUGGGGCAGUUGCCUUUAAAGGCCCGCCGCAUGCUGGCCUGACAGAUGGUCCUUUCUUCCAAGUAGCGGAGUCCCCAUGGAGUCGUGGAGUCAGUGUGGCCUGGCAUCCAUGGUGCACCUCAUGCUGGCGGGUGACUCAGGAUGGGGCAGUUGCCUUUAAAGGCCCGCCGCAUGCUGGCCUGACAGAUGGUCCUUUCUUCCAAGUAGCGGAGUCCCCAUGGAGUCGUGGAGUCAGUGUGGCCUGGCAUCCAUGGUGCACCUCAUGCUGGCGGGUGGCUCAGGAUGGGGCAGUUAUAAUGGGACAUCUGCCAUACACUGGCAAGGAAGAUGGUCAGUUCUUCUGGGACACAAAGGCCCCCAAAGUCCUUGAAUGGUCGAUUCUUCCAAGCAACAGAGUCCCCAUGGAGUUGUGGAGUCGAUGUGUCCUGGCACCCAUGGUGCACCUCAUGCUGGCGGGUGGCUCAGGACGGAACAGUUGCCUUGAGAGGCCCGCUGUGUACUGCCACAACAGAUGGUUGAUUCUUAUGAGCAGUAGACUCCCCAUGGAGUCGUGGAGUCAGUGCGGGCUGGCAUCCAUGGUGCACCUUGUGCUGGAAGGUGGCUCAGGAUGGGUCAGUUUCCAUGGGACAUCCACCAUACGCUGGCAAGGAAGAUGGUCAGUUUUUCUGGGACACAAAGGCCCCCAGAGUCCUAGAGUCCAAAUGGCCUGGAUCCAUGGUGCACCGCUGCUGGUGCAUGGCUCAGGAUGGGGCAGUUUCUUGAGAGGCCUGCUGUGUGCUGGCCCGAUAGAUGGUCGAUUGUUCCAAGCAACAGAGUCCCCAUGGAGUCGUGGAGUCAUUGUGGCCUGGCAUCCAUGGUGCACCUCAUGUUGGCGGGUGGCUCAAGAUGGGGUAGUUGCCAUGGGAGGCCCACCACCUGCUGGAAGGAAGAUGGUCGAUUCUUGUGAGCCACAAAUGCCUUGCAGAGUCUCGGAGUCAGUGUGGCCUGGCUUCCAUGGGGCAUCUUGUGCUGGUGGAUGGCUCAGGCCGGUAAGCAUUCCUGUGCCCCUCGUGGGCCAGUUGCCAUGGAAGGCCCACCUCCUGCUGACAAGGAAGAUGGUCGAUUCUUCGGUCAGCUUAGGCCCUACGGAGUCCUUGAUUCGGCAUGUCCUGGCAUGUACGGUGCACCCUGUUCUGGCAGGUGGCCCAGAACGGAGCAGUUUUCAUGAGAAGGUCCACCACUUGCUGGCAAGGAAGAUGGUUGAUUCUUCUAAUCAAUGGAGGCGCACUGAGUCCUUGAUUCGGCGUGGCCUGUCAUCUUCGGUGCACCCCAUGCUGGUGGGUGGCUCAGGACGGAGCAGUUGUCAUGACAGAUCCAUUGCUUGCUGGCAAGGAAGAUGGGCGAUUCUUCUGACCAACAGAGGCAGCGUUGGGUCCUUGAUUCAUUGUGUCCUGACGUCUGCAGUGCACCCCGUGCUGGUGGGUGGCUCAGGACGGUGUUGUUGGUGUAAAAGGCAGGUGUGUGUCAUGAGGAAUGAUUGUCAUCUUGUACAAUCCUUGGCAUUGGCUGGAAGCCCGUGGCCACACAUGGUGUGGACUCCUUCAGAGGCUGUUGAAACCCUCCUGAGUUGGUGUUGGCAUAAAAGGCAGGCUCGUGUCAUGAGGAAUGAUUAUCAUCUUGUGCGAUCCUUGGAGAUGGCAGGAAGCCCCUGGCCACACAUGGUAUGGACUCCUUCAGGGGCUGUUGAAACCCUCCUGAAUCACACCUGUGUUUCCUCUGCACUUUGCAGGUGGUGUUGGCGUAAACAGCAGUCUUGUGUCAGCAACGGAUCAUUGUCAUCUUAUGCGAUCCUUGGAGACGACAGGAAGUCCCGGGACAUAUGUAGUGUAGGCCCCUUCAGAGCCUGUCGGAUCCCUCCUGAAUGUAAGUGAUUCCUUCCUAAAGCAUACUGAGUUUCCUCAUUUGUGCAGGCAAAGAGUGUGUGGAUCGAUGAUGACUUCCAUAUAUACAUUCUUUGGAAAGCUGAACAAAAUGAGUGAAAACUCUAUACCGUCAUCCUCAUCGAACUGAGGUCCAGCACACUGCUCCAACAGGGGCUAGAGAGGGAGGGACAACUUUCAUUUGUUGAUGCGGGUCACAGUAAACCAUCCAUCCAGGUCUGCUUUGGAUCAAAGGGAGUCACAGGGCAGUUGGCGCUCCUGCGUGGAGGAGAUUCCUUGUGCGAAGGACUUCUCUCUGUGAGGCUGAUCUGCAGGACUACGUGAACGUGCAGGUGGCACAGAAGAGUUAGCCAGUAACCCACCUCUGUGUGGCCAGAUUUGUCCUUGAGUCCUGACUCUGGGUUCCCUUGUCCCCUGGAGGUAGACAGGUCCUUGUGGUUGGGAAGAAAGCCCAAGGCCACACCUUUGCUGUUCUUUGGCUCAUGUUUUUUUCAUGGCUGAGGACUUUUUAGUGCCCAUGGUGCCACUGACUGCAGUGGCAGUCAGUUGUGAGGAGGAGGCUGAUCCUGAUUUUCUUUCUGGAAAGUACCCUGUAGGUUGGCUCCAUUUGUGAUUUGUGUGUCCCCAGAGAGAAAUGGAGAUCCCAUGGCUGGUGAUGAGUACUGCAGGUGGGAAUAAGAAAGCACCUUGCAUGUAUUAACCUGAUACCCUAACCCAGGGAUGGUCAACUGACAUUUGCGAUUCUGUUUCACAUGGUGUGUACCUUACAUCACAAAUGCCACGUUGGCCUUGGGGUGCUGGGAAUGGAAUGUGAUCUGACAUCUACAUGGGAGGGCAUUUCAGCAGAUUGCUUUUAUUUCCUGACAGUCUUUCUUAUAUCCCCAGUCACAUGUUUUCUCCAGGGGACAUUUUAUUGGAGUCUUUUGGGUCAAUAUCAGAAAAAAAAAGUUGUGGUUAUCCAAAUAUGACGUGUGGUGAUUUAACAGUGGUAUGGAUGGUAGCUCAAGUAAACAGCAGCAAAACCAAAAUAUAUUUAUGUACACAGGUGGCCCUGUUCUCUACUACAUAUUGAGUCUGGUGUUAGUCUCUUCGUCCUGCACUAAUCUCAGUGAUCUGGAAACUUUUCCAGGAGGCCUUUUUAAGACAUUUUGUGUCCUUGUAGUUGUAUUUGUACUCUCUGCAGUGCUAAGUCUGGAUCAUUCUGCUGUCCAUGUGCUACUGGAAUUUCCAUUGUUUGGGGGACACUGUCUGGCCAUUGUGGAUACAUCUUUUGGGGCCCUAUAACAAGAAGGAUAUUAGAAGUCAGGUUUGGAGUAGUGGUGACCUCCUCCCUAAGGGCAAAGGCAGUUUUCUAUCUAAAUCUUAUUGCAGGAUUCACAGCCCAGGUGUUGUGUGGCAGGAAGAACACAAAAUUAGAGUAUCUCAUGUGGACUUGGGUCCAGUAUUAAGGCAGUGUUGGGUAAUUUUCCAUAUCUGCAAGGUUCCCAUUAGACUCUUUAUGCCCAGCAGAUAUUCACAAGCCAACUUUUCUCUUAUGCUGGAAGCCUCAUUCAUGCCAUGUAGAGUUUCCAUGAAACCAUCAUUCAGGUUCUAAGUGCAAGGAUUUCUCUCAAGAGAUUAAUUUGUUUCUUCAACAGAGCAUUUUUCUUCUCUAUAAAUUCUACUUCCUGUGGUUUGCAGCACAGAUUAAGUUCCCAGGUCUUAAUUCUGCUUUUCUGCCCAAUCUCGGAUCAGUAAGCCUUUAAAUGUGUUCUUUGAUUACUGGCAAAAGUUCUUGGAAUACCAGUCCUUAGCCACAAGCAAUGCAGAGCUACAGAGGCUUGUAGUUUUUUUUAAAUUGCCUGAAGCAGUGGGUUUGUUUGUAUCUUGUCAUUUAUGGCUGCCA